rnacentral:rRNA from 1 species
CCUACGGGGGGCAGCAGUGGGGAAUAUUGGACAAUGGGGGCAACCCUGAUCCAGCCAUGCCGCGUGAGUGAUGAAGGCCUUAGGGUUGUAAAGCUCUUUCGUCAGGGAAGAUAAUGACGGUACCUGAAGAAGAAGCCCCGGCUAACUUCGUGCCAGCAGCCGCGGUAAUACGAAGGGGGCUAGCGUUGUUCGGAAUUACUGGGCGUAAAGCGCACGUAGGCGGACAUUUAAGUCAGGGGUGAAAUCCCAGGGCUCAACCCUGGAACUGCCUUUGAUACUGGGUGUCUUGAGUACGAGAGAGGUGAGUGGAAUUCCGAGUGUAGAGGUGAAAUUCGUAGAUAUUCGGAAGAACACCAGUGGCGAAGGCGGCUCACUGGCUCGUAACUGACGCUGAGGUGCGAAAGCGUGGGGAGCAAACAGGAUUAGAUACCCCAGUAGUC